CUUCAAAGUACUGGUAGUUCAACGUCUUGUCUCGCUCUCCCGUCUCCGUUAUUUGUGAGAACACAAUUCUCUCAAGGUCCACAUUUGCAGAAUACAGAAACGGCUUCCUGCUGUCCUUGCUCUUGUCUUUUUGUUCCUGAAAGGCUUUUCAGUUCAUAGACUGCUUUAGCGGAGAGGGCUCCAAACUUACUUGCUGUUAGUACCGGCGUUGCUGAAAUUCGUGAAAGAUAUCUUCAAUUACACCAGUAACAGUAAAGCUUGUUCGGUAAAGAAUUGUUAGUGGUCACUAACGAGCGCUUGUUUUACUUUCCCACUCCCGCGGACCAAGUCGUGGAGCAGCCAGAAUAUUUCAAUUGACUCUCUUCGCCUUGGCUACGAGACCUGGAAGUAGUUCGGCGUCUUGUUGCCUUCAGUCGCUGCUACCAAGCCUUUUUCUCUAUCAUCAGCUUUGCAAAGGAUGGUCAGGGCCUGAAGGAUAUUAUUCAUUUAUCAGCUGUGCCGGAAGGGAUACAUUAGUAGUACUGUUGCACGGAGUCUGGGCAAGAAAGGAUACAUUAACAUUUGUAGUACUAUUACAACGACUCUGGACAUGCGCUGGUCUCAUAUCACCGCGUCAGCUACAGCCUGGAAUAAUAGCUGAUUACUGAAAGACUGCGGCGCAAGGAAUUCAACACUACAAUGUUCUGAUGCUGAGCAGCUGCUGUGUUGACAAAGCUAACACUGCAGAUGCAGACCUGUAUUCUCUGGUGUAAAGCUAUCAAGGUGCAGACACACUGAAGGCAGGUUGCGCAAUGGUGAAGCGGAGUGGCAAUGGUGACCUAGCAAGAUUCUCUGCCAAGCUGCUGGCUUUGGGAUCGUGCGUAUCAAGUUGUGUGCAAGACCACAGUAAAACGACAGCUCCUUGUUUGGUCCCAGUUUUCUUCAGCUCUAUUAAAGAGCAAGAUGCUUUGAGCAUGAGCAGUCUGCAGAGAGAGAGAUGCUUUGAGCUGCAGUCUGCAGACAAGUGCUGCUCCCUCUACUGGACUGUUGUGCGUGGAGGUGUCACCUGCCAUUGUUCUGGUGGAGGUGUCACCUGCCAUUGUUCUGACUGAAGAGUACGAGUAGUGUCUCUUAUGUGAAAAUUACUGACAUCAUCGGCAAUGUGUUCCGAGGCAUCACACUUGCUUCUGCGGACGCAACCACUGCUGUUGCUUCUGCCGAGAUGCUGAACAUUCAGGAUGGUUCCUGUCACACUCUUGGUGAGCUUGCAUCAUCUGAGAGGCAGUAUUCCAGGCAUCCUGCGAACAGUGAUGGCACAUCUGGGGUGAUCUUCAGGAAGCCGGUGGCUGCUCCAAACGUUGGAGCUUGCGCUUCCUGCCGACUGACUGACCCUUGACUGACUCGCGACUGCUGUCUGGAGCACACGAGAAGAAUGCAGGUCCGUCCACUUGGCAAACCUGCAAGAACGCACCCUUCCCUGCUCAAUACACAGAGUUUCAGGCGGGGAAUUCACCCCUUAUCAGCUGGGCUUGAGUAGGCUGAGGAAGAUUAUGCCUGAAGACGUCAGGAGUAGCCACCUUGUUCUACAAUUUCCGCCCAAGUCGCAACAUCUCACUUCUUCAGGAAGCAGCUAAUGAAUUCUGUAUUCACUAUGUAGUGCAUCUUGGAUGCCCAUCCCCGUCAGCUGACAUACGGUGGGCUACCUUCCAACUAGGCAGCCUCCGUGUUGAGAAUUGGAAGAAAGGAGCAAAGACUGACUCGGUGCGGGCUGUUGGUAUUUUGCUGGAUCAGCCAAGCGAUAUCGUGGGUGAUAAGGAGUGGUGGCAUUGCAGUGAAUUCCUGAUUUCAACCAGCAGUGAGACUUCCAACAGAUGUAGUGUGUCAGUGUAGCUGGCGCUGGCCACAAAAUAUGCUUGGCACACAUGCUCACAUAGACAAUGGUGCAUUGUGUGUAUGACUUCCAGUCUCCACACUCACACUAUAUACUCUGCUGUAUUGUAUUGUAAUGUUCUAACACUGGUAGUAGAGGUAGUAGGUGUGCGAUUCAAAGUACCUGUCCUCUUAUUGAGCAGUGUAUUGCGAUUCAAAGUACCUGUCCUCUUAUUGAGCAGUGUAUUGCUAUUCAAAGUACCUGUCCUCUUAUUGAGCAGUGUAUUGCUAUUCAAAGUACCUGUCCUCUUAUUGAGCAGUGUAUUGCUAUUCAAAGUACCUGUCCUCUUAUUGAGCAGUGUAUUGCGAUUCAAAGUACCUGUCCUCUUAUUGAGCAGUGUAUUGCUAUUCAAAGUACCUGUCCUCUUAUUGAGCAGUGUAUUGCUAUUCAAAGUACCUGUCCUCUUAUUGAGCAGUGUAUUGCUAUUCAAAGUACCUGUCCUCUUAUUGAGCAGUGUAUUGCGAUUCAAAGUACCUGUCCUCUUAUUGAGCAGUGUAUUGCUAUUCAAAGUACCUGUCCUCUUAUUGAGCAGUGUAUUGCUAUUCAAAGUACCUGUCCUCUUAUUGAGCAGUGUAUUGCGAUUCAAAGUACCUGUCCUCUUAUUGAGCAGUGUAUUGCGAUUUUUCUAUAAAUAUGAUUAUACUGUGUAACGUAACGGUGGAUUAUUUUACUAUCAAAGUGUCUAUUUGUCGGUAUGACUCAUCUCUUACUCUCAGUAAUGUGUAUAGGCUGACUUUACCUACUCAUUAUCUCCUUACUGAAUUGUCAUUUCUUUCUCUUUUUUUUAUGUAUAAUUAUUUAGUCAACGACCUCAUAGCUUGAAGAACUUUCCUUUCCUACAUAGUACAUGCUACAUGGUAUUGCUGGAAUGUAUUUUCCAAGAUUUCUGCUCAGUCUAUUUUAGCCUGAUCAGUACUGCUCUAUUCUUUUUACAAAAUAUCUUCUUUGUUCUACUACAUUAAUUUUCUGCUGCAUCUUUUAAUUUUCUAAGCCUUGAAAAAUAUAAUUUUAUUCACAAUUUUUACACAAUUCUGUCAUAUAUUCUGAAACCUGCCAUGUGAAGCCUA